rnacentral:sRNA from 1 species
GCCCCCUGGAACCGCCUCUCUUCCCCCACCCGGAGUGGCCGGCAGUCCCCGGCAGGCGUGCGCCGGGCAGCAGACAGCCGGGAGAGCUCGAGCGCCAGGAAGCUGGGGACCCGUGACCGUCACGGAGAGAUAGAGAACCCCCAGCGGACCUGAGGAACCUGGGCUCUGCUUCCUCCGGCUGCUGCCUGGACUGCUCAGUGAGGUGGGGGGAUCCCCGGCCACCGGUGCACAAUGCCCACCUUCACAGCAGGAAGGACUCAAAUUGGAACACAGUAGUAGCCUGCCAGCCAACGUGACUGGCUUCAACCUCAUCCACCGACUCAGCCUCAUGAAGAUGUCUGCCAUCAAGAAGAUCCGCAACCCCAAGGGGCCUCUCAUCCUGCGCCUGGGGGCGGCCCCCGUGACCCAGCCCACGCGACGAGUAUUCCCUCGGGGUCUCCCGGAGGAGUUUGCCCUGGUGCUGACACUACUGCUGAAGAAACACACCCACCAGAAGACGUGGUAUCUGUUUCAAGUGACCGAUGCAAAUGGGUA